rnacentral:rRNA from 1 species
GGCUAACUCCGUGCCAGCAGCCGCGGUAAUACGGAGGGUGCGAGCGUUAAUCGGAAUUACUGGGCGUAAAGCGCAUGCAGGCGGCCUGUUAAGUCAGAUGUGAAAGACCCGGGGCGUUAACCUCGGAAUUGCAUUUGAAACUGGCAGGCUAGAGUCUUGUAGAGGGGGGUAGGAAUUUCAGGUGUAGCGGUGAAAUAGCGUAGAGAUCUGAAGGAAUACCAGUGGCGAAGGCGGCCCCCCUGGACAAAGACUGACGCUCAGAUGCGAAAGCGUGGGGAGCAAACAGGAUUAGAUACCCUGGUAG